CCAGACUCCUACGGGAGGCAGCAGUGGGGAAUAUUGCACAAUGGGGGAAACCCUGAUGCAGCGACGCCGCGUGAAGGACGAAGUAUUUCGGUACGUAAACUCCUAUCAGCAGGGAAGAAAAUGACGGUACCUGACCAAGAAGCCCCGGCUAACUACGUGCCAGCAGCCGCGGUAAUACGUAGGGGGCAAGCGUUAUCCGGAUUUACUGGGUGUAAAGGGAGCGUAGACGGCCAUGCAAGUCUGAUGUGAAAACCCGGGGCUCAACCCCGGGACUGCAUUGGAAACUGUGCGGCUGGAGUGUCGGAGAGGCAAGUGGAAUUCCUAGUGUAGCGGUGAAAUGCGUAGAUAUUAGGAGGAACACCAGUGGCGAAGGCGGCUUGCUGGACGACGACUGACGUUGAGGCUCGAAAGCGUGGGGAGCAAACAGGAUUAGAUACCCCAGUAUAU
rnacentral:rRNA from 1 species